rnacentral:rRNA from 1 species
UACGUAGGGGGCGAGCGUUGUCCGGAUUUAUUGGGCGUAAAGAGCGUGUAGGCGGUUCGGUAAGUCUGUCGUGAAAUCCUGAGGCUCAACCUUGGACGUGCGAUGGAUACUGCCGGGCUAGAGGAUGGUAGAGGCGAGUGGAAUUCUCGGUGUAGCGGUGAAAUGCGCAGAUAUCGGGAGGAACACCAGUAGCGAAGGCGGCUCGCUGGGCCAUUCCUGACGCUGAGAACGCGGAAAGCUAGGGGAGCGAACAGG